rnacentral:lncRNA from 12 species
AAAGAAGGAGGAGGAAGAGGAGGAGGCGGCAUGAACAUAGCCCUAAUGGCUCAUCCAUAAGACUUGCUUACGUGAUCUCUGUUUUAUUUUUCCUGUAGUGUUAACAGUUAUUCCUCCCAUAUCCGUGGAGCAACCCUCAUCUGACUCUCAGCAGGCAAAUCCAGAAGGCCCCUGUCCAACAAAUGGGGAAGCUGUUGGACCUCCAGAAGAUGCA